AAGAAAUUUUUUUUUUAUCAUUUAAAAAAAUUAAUUUAUAUGUAUAUAUAUAUAUAUAUAUAUAUAUUAUUAUU